rnacentral:tRNA from 1 species
GCCUUAAUGGUGGAAUGGUAGACACGACAGACUUAAAAUCUGUUGAGCAUUGGGCUCGUGAGGGUUCGAGUCCCUCUUAAGGUA